GUGCCCGUAGCUCAAUGGCAGAGCGCCUGACUGUGGAUCUGGAGGUUGCGGGUUCGAGCCCCGUCGGGCACC
rnacentral:tRNA from 3 species